UACGAAGGGGGCUAGCGUUGCUCGGAAUUACUGGGCGUAAAGCGCACGUAGGCGGCUUUCUAAGUCGGGGGUGAAAUCCUGGAGCUCAACUCCAGAACUGCCUUCGAUACUGGAGAGCUUGAGUCCGGGAGAGGUGAGUGGAACUGCGAGUGUAGGGGUGAAAUUCGUAGAUAUUCGCAAGAACACCAGUGGCGAAGGCGGCUCACUGGCCCGGUACUGACGCUGAGACCCGAAAGCGUGGGGAUCAAACAGG
rnacentral:rRNA from 1 species